ACCAUGAUGGCCAAGUGGUUAAGGCGUUGGACUUAACUUCCAAUGGACAAACAACCGCACGGGUUCAAACCCCACUGCUGGUA